GUUGUUGUGGCCGAGUGGUUAAGGUGAUGGACUAGAAUUCCAUCGCGCAGGUUCAAAUCCUGCCAACAACG